rnacentral:tRNA from 1 species
GGGUAGAGCUCAGUGGUAGAGCACAUGCUUAGCAUGCAUGAGGUCCUGGGUUCCAUACCCAGUACCGCCA